GGGGCAGCGGGGCCCACGGCAGCGGCGGGAGUCGCGCCUGUCGCCGGGCGUGAGGACGACAAAGCCGAGGCGCUGGGAGCGAGGUGGAGGGGAUGUCGGGGGAACCCUGGGGAGGAGCAGGUGUGCUGGUGACGCGCGGAGGCUCAGGUGUGCUCAGCGGUGCGCCAGCCCCUUCCCUCCCAAGCCCCGUUUCUCCUCCAGCUGCUCUUUCCUAGGGAUGUUAGUGUCUUAGUGUGAAGACGCCAGGUUGCUCCUGGUAACACGUCCUGAUGCACGAGUCUCUCUUCCCGUCUCUCUUCCCUCCUCUCUUGUCUUCAAUCACCCCCGCCCCAGACAUACAGACAGACACACAGGGGUGCACCCAGACUGCUGUAUCUUACUGAUUCCUGUUUCUUUCUUUCUUUCUUUCUUUUUUCAUGCUGACAUCCCUCACUCCUGGAGCCUCUCCAUAAGCAGGCUCUCCGUGAAUAUUUGCUGAAUGAUCGCAUCAAUGUGUGAUUGACACGGUCACCUCUGUAGCUCAGAAGACCUGGCUGACGAUCCUUGUGCAUUUCGGGCUGUCUCCCAAACACGAAGAGGAAGAAGAAUGUGGAUAAGCCAGUGCCCCCCCAUCCCGGGGAGAAAAUGGCCCGGAGGAGUCUUAUUUCAGCAUAUAAAUGGAAUGGGACUCACGCAGGCGAGUGACCCCCCUGGACGCCAGCCCGAGGGGACAUCCUGCCCUGCGUUCACGCCAGUGGGGUGGUCGAGGGUUGAGUUUGCACUCAGCUCCACGGGAGAGCGCGGCAGGAAAGUAAGAGUGAAAAGAAACCUCUGGGUUCCGCCCUGCAGCGCGUGGUGUCAGAGCCGCGGCGGGCAGGGCGGGAACCGAGACGGGGCCUCCUGCUGCAGCAGACAGCAGCCUUGUCCCACCCGUGUUCAUGGGCCCCCUCCAUCCACGUGUCCAAAUGCACACCCGCUGGCCUGAAAAUGCGUGGGUUUUACCGCCCCCCUCCCUCCCCGGGGGAAGGACAGCUGUCAGGAGUCCCCUCCUGCCACCCCAGCCCUGUGACUUCCCGCCCGUCCAUCCGCGGGCACCAGACCCUCGCCUCAGGCUUCGCUCCAGAGGGUCCUCGCCACACACAGGUGCCCAGACAGGGAGGCGUUCUCUCUCACCGCCGGGAGCAGAGGUCGGCCUGAGGAAGCCGCGUCCCCGGAGAAGCGGGUCCCCCCAGGCUCGAGGAUGGUGGCGCACUCUGUCAGCGCGCAGUCUCGGAGCCGUAAAAACGCCACGCCGCCCACCCAGGUCGCACACACCUGUCCCAGGUGACAGACACAGAGCAGGUCGCCCUGCCCGUAAGGCUGAUGACGGACCAGUGAUAAACAAUACUGCAUGUCUGUUAAGUCGCUGCUGGCCACCCGGCCAACUCAACCUUCACUGUGUGCAGACGCGCCUCCUGCAGACAACGGUCCAGAUGUGGAUCCUGACCGAGUCAUUCAGGGGUGGGGUCCCACACGCGGCAAGGCUGCGGCUUGCUUCCGGGAGCAAGGUUGGGAGAUGACAAGAUGCUAAGAUUAACUUUUCCUUUGUGGAUAAAAACAAGAUGGGGUGACAGAAACACAUUCAUGCGGUGGGAAACGCUGAGUAGGGAAGACAAUGCAAUAAUAUUGUAAUGUGUCAAAGGGAAUGCUGCUAAAAUGACAGAUUAAAAAAAAUUCCCAGGUUGUACAAAUAUUCUAGAAGAUGAAUAAAAUAUGAACUGUGUCUCACCUCCGCAAAC
ensembl:lncRNA